AUCGCACGUGGUUUUGAAAUCAUUAUCGUUCUUUAUGUAAUUGGCCAAAAUCGAUCUACACCAUCUUGUCGAGACUCGAGCUCAGUGAUUUACGAUUUUUACAAAUCUCAGCUACUUUAUCUGCAUGGAGUAUAAAAAUUAAAGUGGAAAUAUAUUUUGAUAAAGUUGGUAUUGCUGAACUGAAUAUAUGAUUAUCUCUUUUCCAAACAUAUUCUCUCAACAUCAAACAAAAGCAUUCAGCAACUACAACAGGCAAUUCAAUCUCCCUCACCAUCACUAAAUAGUAAAAGUUGGUAAAACCAUUGCAACCCGCUCGCCCACCACUGUUGAUAGUUUCUCUUCCUUGAACAUCCGUUUUAACGCUCUUCUAAACGCUUUCUCUGCAAUCAAUUCUCCUUUUUGUUCGUUUUGGUUUAGCACUAUUUAAUAUCCUAAUUGCUCUCGUUUGAUCCUUGAUUGUCAUUUACCGUGUUGGUUCUUAUCCCCUAUCUAUCGUCGAUUAUUUCUUACAAAAUUGAACACUUA